rnacentral:rRNA from 1 species
GACGAACCGUGCGAACGUUGUUCGGAAUCACUGGGCAUAAAGGGCGCGUAGGCGGCUUUUCAAGUCAGGGGUGAAAUCCGGCAGCUUAACUGUCGAAGUGCCCUUGAUACUGAUGAGCUCGAGGGAGGUAGGGGUCUGUGGAACUUCCGGUGGAGCGGUGAAAUGCGUUGAUAUCGGAAGGAACGCCGGUGGCGAAAGCGACGGACUGGACCUCUUCUGACGCUGAGGCGCGAAAGCUAGGGGAGCAAACGGG